rnacentral:piRNA from 1 species
CUGUCAGAUGCUGAAACCGCGUGC